rnacentral:tRNA from 1 species
GGUAAUAGCUCAAUGGCAGAGUGUGUGCUUACCAGGCACGAGGUCCUGGGUUCAAGCCCCAGAACCU